CAGAGUAGGGACAGCGCGUCAAGUGCCGGCGGAUGGGAAGUUGCCGCCGGACGAAGGGGCCGGAUCAUGGAGCCCCGCGGUGCUGUGCCCGCAUCCGCUGC
rnacentral:ncRNA from 1 species